GAUGAACGCUGGCGGCGUGCCUAAUACAUGCAAGUCGAGCGAACGGACGAGAAGCUUGCUUCUCUGAUGUUAGCGGCGGACGGGUGAGUAACACGUGGAUCACCUACCUCUAUGACUGGGAUAACUUCGGGAAACCGGAGCUAAUACCGGCUAAUAUUUUGAACCGCAUGGUUCAAAAGUGAAAGACGGUCUUGCUGUCACUUAUAGCUGGAUCCGCGCUGCAUUAGCUAGUUGGUAAGGUAACGGCUUACCAAGGCAACGAUGCAUAGCCGACCUGAGAGGGUGAUCGGCCACACUGGAACUGAGACACGGUCCAGACUCCUACGGGAGGCAGCAGUAGGGAAUCUUCCGCAAUGGGCGAAAGCCUGACGGAGCAACGCCGCGUGAGUGAUGAAGGUCUUCGGAUCGUAAAACUCUGUUAUUAGGGAAGAACAGAUGUGUAAGUAACUGUGCACAUCUUGACGGUACCUAAUCAGAAAGCCACGGCUAACUACGUG
rnacentral:rRNA from 1 species